GAUGAAGAACGCAGCGAAAUGCGAUACUUGGUGUGAAUUGCAGAAUCCCGUGAACCAUCGAGUCUUUGAACGCAAGUUGCGCCCGAAGCCAUUAGGCCGAGGGCACGCCUGCCUGGGCGUCACACGUCGUUGCCCCCCCAUCUACUCCUUCGGGAUUGCGGGGGGCGGAUGAUGGCCUCCCGUGCGCCUCGUCGCGCGGUUGGCAUAAAUGCCAAGUCCUCGGCGACGCACGCCACGACAAUCGGUGGUUGCGAAACCUCGGUUGCCCGUCGUGUGCGGUCGUCGCGCAUCGAGGGCUCGAAAAAAUUGCCGGGCUCCGGCUCGGCUUCCAACGCGACCCCAGGUCAGGCGGGGUUACCCGCUGAAUUUAAGCAUAUCAAUAAGCGGAGGA
rnacentral:misc_RNA from 1 species